rnacentral:rRNA from 1 species
GCGCGAAAACUUUACAAUGCGGGAAACCGCGAUAAGGGGACACUGAGUGCCAGCACCAUGUGCUGGCUGUCCGCAUGUAUAAAUCACAUGUGUCAGCAAGGGCCGGGCAAGACCGGUGCCAGCCGCCGCGGUAACACCGGCGGCCCGAGUGGUGGCCAUUAUUAUUGGGUCUAAAGGGUCCGUAGCCGGUUUGAUCAGUCUUCCGGGAAAUCUGACAGCUCAACUGUUAGGCUUCUGGGGGAUACUGUCAGACUUGGAACCGGGAGAGGUAAGAGGUACUACAGGGGUAGGAGUGAAAUCUUGUAAUCCUUGUGGGACCACCAGUGGCGAAGGCGUCUUACCAGAACGGGUUCGACGGUGAGGGACGAAAACUGGGGGCACGAACCGGAUUAGAUACCCGGGUAGUCCCAGCCGUAAACGAUGCUCGCUAGGUGUCUGGGGUGGUGCGACCGUUUCAGGUGCCGCAGGGAAGCCGUGAAGCGAGCCACCUGGGAAGUACGGCCGCAAGGCUGAAACU